rnacentral:rRNA from 1 species
ACGGCUCAGUAACACGUGGAUAACCUACCCAAGAGUCUGGGAUAACCCCGGGAAACUGGGGAUAAUACCGGAUAGGUCAUUCGGGCUGGAAGGCUGUUUGGCUGAAACCUUUGGGGCUUUUGGAUGGGUCUGCGGCUGAUUAGGUUGUUGCCGGUGUAACGUACCGUCAAGCCUGUAAUCAGUACGGGUUGUGGGAGCAAGAGCCCGGAGAUGGAUUCUGAGACACGAAUCCAGGCCCUACGGGGCGCAGCAGGCGCGAAAACUUUACAAUGCAGGCAACUGCGAUAGGGGAACAUCGAGUGCUCAUCAUAUUGGUGGGCUGUCCAUCCGCCUAAAAAGCGGGUGUUAGCAAGGGCCGGGCAAGACCGGUGCCAGCCGCCGCGGUAAUACCGGCGGCUCGAGUGGUGGCCGAUAUUAUUGAGUCUAAAGGGUCCGUAGCCGGCUUUGCAAGUCUCUCGGGAAAUCCAGCGGCUUAACCGUUGGUCGGCCGGGGGGUACUACAUUGCUUGGGACUGGGAGAGGUAGGAGGUACUCAGGGGGUAGGAGUGAAAUCCUGUAAUCCUCUGGGGACCACCGGUGGCGAAGGCGUCCUACCAGAACAGGUCCGACGGUGAGGGACGAAAGCUAGGGGCACGAACCGGAUUAGAUACCCGGGUAGUCCUAGCCGUAAACGAUGCUCGCUAGGUGUCGCAACAGUCGUGAAUUGUUGCGGUGCCGUAGGGAAGCCGUGAAGCGAGCCACUUGGGAAGUACGACCGCAAGGUUGAAACUUAAAGGAAUUGGCGGGGGAGCAC